ensembl:lncRNA
UCACAGGGGGCGUUUCUGAACCCGAGGGAUCCGUCACUGCCUGCACAGCCUCUUCCUCCGCAUCUUGCUUAUUCUAACAAGUCGCGAAAGGAAAUGGGAGGGGGCCUGGCGGUCCGCGGGCUCUGACAGGAAGCGGCCGGUGCAGGGGGACGCGCACGCCCGCGCGCUCGCUGCUCCCGGGUCCGGUGCGCAGCCUUUCGCAGUCGACCCCAAGGGACGCGUCCUUGGCUGCGGGGAAGGGGGGGCGCUCCAUAAGCGCCUUUUCUCCUCUUUCCCUGCUGCCAAGCCUGGAACCUUCGGCUUCACGCGCGCUUCCUCCUUCACUGCGUCCGCCCCGCCGCCUUCCCGACCCGCAGACCCGACGCGCCCCCCGCGCCCGCACGGGGAAUCUAGGAGAACAAGUGAAAUAAAGGACGUGAAAGAACUUUGAAAGCUGUGAGCGACCGCACGGGGAUCAGCACGAUGGUGAAGUUCGUCACCAGCAUCGCCAGCACGGUCAUCGUCUUUACCGCAUCGCUAGAUUCAUUCCAGCAUAUUUUCUGAGGUUUCCAAGCCUCAGAAAUGUCACCUAAGGUAGAAAAGAUGUCGGAGAAUUUGAGCGGUUUUAGCAAAAGCGAAGAUUUGGGGAAUUCUCACCCACGGCUGGUGCCAGGGGGACUUGGCACAGCCCUCUUGGAGUCAACUUGGCAGCGUGGAGUCAGCUGGGAAGUCUGUGUCCCAGGUGACCUGUUGCACCUGAGCACGAGGAGAUCUGCGUGGGGGUGGUUGUGCAGCGUUGUUCACGGUGGCAGGCAGUUAUUUUGAAAGAGCUUAAAUGUUUGUUAACAAGUAAUUGGAUAAAAUGUUACAUAAAUAAUGCCAUUUAUGUAAAAGUUUAAAAUACAAAAGCAGUGCUAUAUAUUAUCUAUAGAUACAUGUGUAUGUCGAAGCUUAAAUACACAAAUGGGAAUGAUACAUAAAAACCUCAGAAUAUGGUUGCCUCUGAAGGGCAGGGGGAGGGAGAAUGAGACCGGGGAGUAGAAAAAAAUAAAUGAAGUACACGGGGAAUAUUUUAACUUUUUCAAUCAAACAGUACAGCUGCAGGAAACAUGCCAGCAUCCUUACAUUUGUUCGUUGCAGAUGACACAGCACCACCUUCUCUCCACCAGCUGCUCAGGGGGAGGGAGGAAGGUGGUCGUGCUCGGCCGUCUUCCACUCCUUCCUCUCCUGGCACUCCUUGAAGGAGUCCUCGGCCCCAAUUCCAUCCUCCCAUUGGAAGGUACAUUGCACUUUCCUCUUUGCCACUAGAAUAUCCAUCUGACACAGAGUUUCCGCCACUGGAAAUUCCAAGUACUUUAAACCAAUCAGUGUCAUUUACAGCAAGGCAUUUUUUUCUCUAUUCUAGUAUGUUUACCUACUUUGAUUCCAAUAAAAAAAUAAUAAUGAUGUCUCACUCCUCGUUCCAUAGAAGAAUGCUUUGUCUUCGUUUUAUGCCUUUUCAAGUUGGAGGGAGAUAAUCAACUGAUUGGUUUCAAAAUACUUCCUGCUUUCCUGUAAGCUGGGAAAAAAAGCAACAGUCAGUUGCCUUGCGUUAACAUAACUUAGAAUCGUCUGGUUAGCUUAAAGUUAUUUGUAGACAUUUGAAAGUAAAAUAUGAGUUAGAAAAAUGAGCGGUGGAAAUGGCUCAUCUAAGGGUAGUUAUUCUUAAGAAUCUCAACUAGAGGCAUUCUCAGGCCUCACCGACUCCCAUAUGGACACUUGCUUUUUAUUCCUUUUCCUGUUUUGAUUGCAGAAGAGAAUGGGAAGGGCUUCAGAGGAGCAGAUACGGAACUAUAGUUGAAG